rnacentral:rRNA from 1 species
UACGAAGGGGGCUAGCGUUGCUCGGAAUCACUGGGCGUAAAGGGUGCGUAGGCGGGGCUUUAAGUCAGGGGUGAAAUCCUGGAGCUCAACUCCAGAACUGCCUUUGAUACUGAGGAGCUUGAGUACGGGAGAGGUGAGUGGAACUGCGAGUGUAGAGGUGAAAUUCGUAGAUAUUCGCAAGAACACCAGUGGCGAAGGCGGCUCACUGGCCCGUAACUGACGCUGAGGCACGAAAGCGUGGGGAGCAAACAGG